CUUUUCUUCACUGUUUAUUUCUUGGAGGUUUCUUUCUUUCCUUUUGUUAAUUCUUGUUGCUAGUGGUUCGUCGUAUGAAUUACGUUUGACUCUCUGUUUUCGAUCAGAAGACAAUAAAGGCGCGAAGGUUGUGAAAAUCGAAUACCUCUAGUGGAGUAAUUCUCGAAGUAAUUCUCAAUUUGGACGUUGCUUUUUGAGUGGAUUCGUGCGUUCCUCUAGAGCAACUGAUCAAAUCUGCCAUCACCUAUGUGAAACUAGCCGAUUUAUCGCUUGAAACUCGAGAAAAAUACGAAAUAGGGGUUGUUUUCGAAACUGCCCAACACCACAUUGCCAUGUGGUAGACUGAGUGUGAUUUUGCAACCCCUAUGGGUAGGCCGUGUGGGGCACACAGCCGUGUGAAAUCUUGUAGCUCAUGUGGGCCUUUUGAGCCAAUUCUGAGGUCUGAUUAAGGGACUCAGUAAUUGGAUCCAUGGGCAUUAUGUAGGCCCAGAAAAACGUAAUCGUUUGACUUAGGACUGAAUGGCGUGCGAGAGCUCGGAUUGAUUUCUCGGUUAACUAAGUAUGAUAGUUACAUUAUUAACCUUUAUGGACUUUUGGGACUGUAAUUUAUUUUUAAACUUUAUUUUUGGUUUUUGUUUUGUUCGUCGAUUUUUGGGUUUUUUUAAUGUAAAACCA